rnacentral:rRNA from 1 species
AUCGAACGCUGGCGGCAGGCCUAACACAUGCAAGUCGAACGAGUGGCGGACGGGUGAGUAAUGUAUGGGAAACUGCCUGAUGGAGGGGGAUAACUAUUGGAAACGGUAGCUAAUACCGCAUACCAUCAGAUGAGCCCAGAUGGGAUUGGCUUGUUGGUGGGGUAACGGCUCACAAAGGCGACGACCCCUAGCUGUUCUGAGAGGAUGACCGGCAAAACUGGAACUGAGACACGGUCCAGACUCCUACGGGAGGCAGCAGUGGGGAAUAUUGCACAAUGGGCGCAAGCCUACUGCAUCCAGGCCGCGUGUAUGAAGAGGUCCUUCGGGUUGUAAGGUACUUUCAGCGGGAAGGCGUUACCCGCAGAAGAAGCACCGGCUAACUCCGUGCCAGCAGCCGCGGUAAUAC